rnacentral:lncRNA from 1 species
UAAAAAGCAAAUCCAAAGCUGAAAGGUAGCUGAGUCCCCUUAUACAUAGACACUACUUGAGCUACAUUUUUAGUAGAGUAAUGUCGAUGCAUUACUUGGUUGCUGUAUCUAUGACCUGCUUGGCUCUGGGAGUGGGAGCUAUCUUGGUCUUGAGAUGGAGGAACGGCGGCCGAACGUGCGAAGGAGGGAGGCUGCCGCCGGGGUCGAGGGGCCUGCCGUUCAUCGGAGAGACGCUCCAGUACUUCCUGGCAGCAUCCUCAACUCUUGGGCUAUUGCCACCCUUCUUCAAGAAACGGUUGGAGAGGUAUACUAUAUAUACUAGCUAGUAAAUCACAAUAGCUUCCUAUUUAGUCUAGGUAGCUUUCGUGGUUGCAUAUAGGCUGUUCAACAGGGCUAGAACGCCGGUACAAAGGAGUCACAUGUUCAGAACAGAACUAGUACAUCUUUUCAUAAACUUAUUAGUCAAACUUAGGGUCAUAUGAGUAUGACUUAGGAUAAAACUGAAACAUAUCUUGCAUUUGCAUUUUGGAGACGAACGAAUGACGACUAUAUUUGUCUUCGAUCGACGAUGACCUCGUUACAACCCGCUAGAUGGCUAGAUGCAUUGUUUCCUGAGCGAUUUAUAACUAAUCAUGUACGUGCGUGGUUGCAAAACUCAAAGAAAUUGCAUGCUAGCUAGCAAUGAAUCGAUGUUAAUGCUUGGACUUCGAGUUUGCAGGUAUGGCCCCAUCUUCCGGACGAGCCUAGUCGGGGAGGACCUCAUCGUGUCUCUGGACGCGGAGCUGAACGCUCAUAUCCUGAAGCAGGAGGAGCGUGGCUUCCAGAUUUGGUACCCACCCUCCUUCAUGCGCGUCUUCGGCGCCGACAACAUCACCUCUAAAAUCGGCGUGCUCCACCUCCACAUGAGAACUCUUGUGCUCCGCCUCUUCGGCCACCAGACCAUCCAAUCCGUGCUGCUGCACGACGUGCAGCGGAGCGCGCGCGACGAGCUCCGCUCAUGGCUCGACCGCCCGGACGUCGAGGUCAGGACGGCCAUCUCCAGGGUUAGUUCCUUAUUAAUUAUAGCUUCCUCUUCGCUAUAGUAAGGCCUUGUUUGGUUGCUUUUGUUUUUUUUAACUCCUAUCACAUCAAAUAUUUAGAUACAUACAUCAAGUAUAUUAAAUAGUAGACUAUAAUAAUUUGCGAGACGAACUUUUUAAGCCUAAUUAAUUCAUAAUUAUAGACACUAAUUAUCAAAUAAAACGAAAAUACUACUAUAUCUAUUAAAUUUUAACACCCCUAAUAUAAUCAAACACCCCCUAAUAACAAUAGAGCCGAUCGAAGUGCAUGUGCCGACGUGCCGUGUUUAUAUAUGCUUAAUUAUGAGUCUGCACUCUGCAGAUGAUAUUUGGCGUCACUGCAAAGAAGCUGAUCAGCCAUGAUGACGCCGCAUCAGGAGGAAGGUUGUGGGAAUGCUUCCACGACUGGACUUCGGGGCUACUCUCAUUUCCAGUUCCCAUUCCUGGCACAACUUUCUACAAAUGCAUGCAGGGACGCAAGAACGUUAUGAAGAUGCUGAAGCAGCAGCUCGGUGAGCGUAGGAACGCAGCGGAGCGCGAGACCGUGGAUUUCUUCGAUCUUGUGAUCGAUGAAUUGAACAAGCCAAACCCUAUGAUGGACGAGAGCACCGCGUUGGACUUGCUGUUCAUGAUGCUCUUUGGAAGCCAUGAGACGACGUCGAUGGUAUUAACCGUCAUACUCAAGUAUUUGACGGACAACCGCAAAGCUUUGCAAGAACUAACAGUAAGUAGAUUAAUUUAUUUAAACACUGUUCCCAUAAUUAUUUGAUUCCCAGGGAAAAUAUAUAUGUAUCAGAACACACACCAACGUUUACAUCGAGUUCGUAUUUGGCUGUGAUGUUAAUUUCCAGGAGGAGCAUGAAAGAAUCCUGGAAAGAAGGGUUGAUCCAGACUCCGAUAUCACGUGGGAGGAGUACAAGUCUAUGAAAUUCACAUCUCAUGUAUGUACUGACAUAUAAUUGCAAAAAUAUCUUGUCCAUGCAUGACAAAUGGUUAUCUUGUGACUAAUAUGCUUUCUAUAUCGGGCCCUUCUAUAUCACAUAGGUUAUACAUGAAUCUCUAAGGCUGGCAAACAUUGCUCUGGUCAUGUUCAGGAAAGCAGAUCAGGAUGUGCACACAAAUGGUAUGCAUAAUCAUGUCCAAUAAAAAAAAUCUUCUAUCUACAUUUCCUACUACAUAUUUAAGAGAAUAUAAAUGAAUGUUCUAAUCCAUAGAUGAUUAAGAUGCUAUACAUAUUAUGCACUCAGGGUACACAAUUCCAAAAGGAUCAAAGAUCAUGAUCUGUCCACUAGCAUCACACUUGAAUAUGAAGGUUUACGAGAAUCCCUCAGUGUUCAAUCCAUGGAGAUGGAAGGUAUAUAUGUGAAAUAAACUCAACUCAAAUCAACAGAUUAAUCCUUGUGGCCCUAAGAUCACACAUGUACAUGUGGAUUAUGUGUAUAGAAUAUUCCUGAACCAGUCGGUGCCUCUAAGGACUUUAUGGCCUUUGGGGGUGGUUUGCGGCUAUGUGCUGGUGCUGAUUUUUCCAAGAUGCAAAUGGCUAUGUUCCUCCAUUACUUGGUCAGAAAUUACAGGUAAAAAAGCUCUCUCUUUUAGAGAGAGAGAGAGAGAGACCUAUAAAAUGUUCAUCACUAUACAAAAGUACUUAUCAACUGAGAAAAAAUCAAUAUUGUGUUUUCGUCAAUAGGUGGAAAACCGUCAGUGGUGGGAUAAUGGUAUUCUAUCCAGGGCUGCAAUUUCCAGAUGGCUUCCACAUCCAGCUUCUUCCAAAAAUCUGAAACGUGGUUCAAGAAACGCUGUCAAGAAAUUAUGUGCAUGGUAUUAACAAUUAUGUUAUGAGUCUAGUCAUGACUAAAUAAAUACGAAUAAGAAUAAUUAUAUUUAUAUUUACAGGGUGAAGGAGAAAAGGCUUAAAGUUCAAUAUAUAAUGAUGUGAUAGAUUAUUCGACCAAACUAUGUUUCAAGAGUAGUGGGCAAUAUUGUACUACAAUGAUAGCCAGUGGGAACUACUUGUUUUACAAACAGAGUAUGAAGUUAUAAACAAUAAUAGAGUAAAUUUCAGUCCCCGUGUAACAACUAUGUUUGUGAGUACAAAUUGGUUAAACAUCUUGUAAUAUGUCCAAUUCAAUGCAAAAAACUUAGUUGUUUGGUGUAUAUACAGUCCUACAAACAUGUCAUGUAUGAUGUGUUUGGCCAAGCUAGACAUUGAAGACGGUAUAGAGCUUAUAUUCGAUCGCUUGAAAAUAUUCCGCCUGACUUAUGCAGCCCUUCAGUGGUUUACUAGUAAUCUCUUAAGAACGGGAAGGAUCGCCAGUUAGUCCCAUAGCACGCCCAACAUCACACUGACAAGCUUCGGUUGGCUCGAGUCCAACUAAAACAACACCCAUGUCGUAGGCCCAUUGUAAACAACAUCCUAGCCUGGUUAGACAAUACAAUUGAAGAGGGUUUUGUGGAUACCACGUGGCAGCUGCUCCAUGCUAGUGCUUGGUUGAGCCAUUGAAGAUUGGGCCUCAUCACCAGGAACUCAACAUUGCUCCACCCUAAUAUGAUUAUUGUUCAUGAUUUCCAUCUCUAAACUACCUCUACAUAGCGGAAUGGCUAAGGCCUCCAUCUAAAAACAUGGUACGUACACCACCUAGGGCAACUAGUAGUAUCGAUUACAUGAGCUCAGGUACCAAACCGAGUCCAAAACAGACAACUUGCGGUUGGUCAAGUGGAUGGCACUCGGUUUAGGUUGUUCAACUCGAAUGGUCCUCAUUGAGUUAGGUAUCCUUCAUGAUGUGCUUGACCUUCUCAGGGCCGUCUCUAGGGGGUGGGCAGCCGGUGCGAUGGCUGGGGGCCCACGCCGCUAAGGGGCCUAUAAAUAUAUAUAUGUAAUAUAUAUAUAAUACUUAGUAUAUAGAUUUAUCUAAUUUUUUGGAGGCUUAUACACACACUAUAGAAAUUUGUCAAUUAAUUUAAAAAAGAAAUUCAUUAAUCAGCACGUCAUCCACAUCCACCUAUUGCUAGUAUUGCUUUAUAUUCUCGCUUGAUCGAUUAGUUGAGCAAAUUAAUGUUUCUCUUUAUCGUUUUCUCAUCCUAUUGCCCAAUCGUCCAAUGCAACAAUAUGGUUCCAUGACACGGUAACACCACACGUCCGCACACGAUGUCACUACUAGACACUGGAGCAGGAAGAGUAAGAGCAUGGCUGAUCGAGACUUCAUCAAUUUUUAGUAUUCCGUGAUAGGGUUCUAAAUUUCUAAUUCUAUCCUAUUUAUUUAUUGUUGUACUAUAAUUAUCUUUUAUAAACUAAAACAUAUGGUGCAAAUUAAUUCUUUUUAGUUGUACUAUAUAUUUUAUAUAUUUGACAUAUCAAAAAAAAUAUUUGAUGGGCCCUUAUCCUUUUGCUUGCACAAGGGCCCUCAAAAUUAUAGAGACGGCCCUGGACCUUCUUAAGCCUCUCCACCACUUACAUUAGCUUGGCAUUCUCAUCUACAAUGAAGUCACCACAAGUUUCUUCAAGAACUUUCUCAAUACAAACUCCAUUGCUAGUGGUUAGAUCACCAAAGGUGGAGGCAUUACCUUAGAAAUAGAAAUUGACCUAUGGUUUGGACGAAGCUUUGUGCUGAAGGGUUGACGAUCUCGGCUUGGCUCUGGUUUUUCUGAAUAAUGCUUCGGGGUCGUCAACAAAAUUUCCUCGAAGAUGUCUUCUAUUCAUACAUUACCCUGCAUAAAAUAAUCAAAAUAGAAAAAUACAGGGAUAAAGCUGUAUGAGAGAAUUGAUAAUCUCAAUCAUAUUAGUGAUGCGAAUGACGACUCAAAAUUAUGUAUUCAUUCCUUAUUAGUAAUCAACCUUCCCCGACAACGGCGCCAAAAAUACUUGUUGGGCAUUCUUAACGUCAUUACCAAAAGUAGACUUAGUUUUCUAAUUCUGAUAACGGCGCCAAAAAUGCCAAACCUAUCCCUCAUGCCACUUAAGCCAAGUUGUCAUCCCCAGCAUGACAUGAGAGACGCGGUAUUGAAAUAUGCAAUUGCUCUUCUGAAUAAAUAAAUGAGAUCUGCAAGCGCACAUAUUAAUACCGAUGUAGCAUUUUAACCGGGAAGUAUUCCAGGUAUCAUUAUUUAUACUUUUACCACUGGGAAGGGAUUGCUAAUCAUCAAUGUUGAUUAUGGAAUGAAAUAUGGAAUUGAGUAUCUAUCAUUGCAUGUGUAAUAGAGAGCAUUUAUCUAUCUCUUUCAUACAGGGAUAAAUGUCAUAUAAAAUAUAGAUAAAGUAUGAAUGGUGAUAAAGAUAAUUAAUCUGAUCAGCAUAACUAGCCACAUAUAAUAAUGAUAAGCACCUCAACAGAUAUUCUAACAAGUCAUUAGCAUGGAGUUAGGAUGAACUACAAGAAUAUUUUCUAAGUUAUUCUUAACUAUAAAGUCUAGCAUAUCAUAGUUAGUGCAAUUAUACUUGGCAAUCAUUGCGAAACAGGACUACGCCCAUGCAUAGUGAUAUUAUUAAGGAAGAUGAGAAACAUAGCAAUCACUCCCCUGUAAUAAUGUUGCUCUGCCUGCCCUAUACACGGGAGGGGGACUAUAUAAGAAUCAAUGGAGCUGUCACAACCACGAACUACCCCGCGAUCCGGCAUAUAGGGUACAAUCGCAGAUAAAUACGGUAUAGGCACCACGCCUACACAAUACUUAUCAUUUACCCACUGUACACAUGGAUAAACGCUAUACGAUCCUAAACAUGUAUAUAAUUCCAAUCUAACUAAGCCAAGCAUAUAACUAUGAUAAACUAAGAACGGUAUAAUUGCAAAUAUAAACAAGUAGAGCAAAGUCAUAAUCAAUAUAUUAAAGUAGAACAAAGUCAUAUUCAUAAUAUUGAAGAACAAUGAUGAACAAAUGAAGAACAGUAGAGGAAUUACCAAGAAUCCUCUUGAUAGAUCCGGAAACCAAUCGAAGAUUGACUCCUUCUAGUUCUAAUCCUAUGUAGCUAUGCUAAACUAGAGAUCUAGUUGAUGAGGUGGCUCUAGGGCUUGAUCAGAGACUUCUUCUCCCGAGAUGAAUGAAUGAAUUAGGGUUUCAGAGGUGCCUCCUCCAGGGGCUAGGGGCCUGCUUAUAUAGUCCCUCCAAAUGAAUAUGGGCCGUCAGAUCAAACCGACCUUAAUCGCACGGUUUUUCUUAAUCCUCUAGGUCGGUGGAGCAUUAUCCGCGAGACGGAGCCUGAUUGGCCCAGGCAGAAGGGCGGGCGCCCAAGGGGGAGGGCGGACGCCUUGUCCCCAGGCCCGCUCGGCCUCCCGCUCGUUCCCGUGGCUUCUGGACUCUUCUAGGUUAGGGAAAAUUGCGCGGCACGUAAUUAUCUCUAUGUAAACCCGAUGCGUGGGCCUUUCCUCCAUAUUUCAUGAUAACCUCUGCAGAAAUAGACAAACACCAAAACUCGUGAAAUUCUAUCAGAUAAAACCCUAAGUCUGGGUGUCGGUUGCAUUUGGGUCCUUUUCUCUAUUUAUUUGUUGAUUAUAUUUGAUACUUAAGGACCGUCAACAUUGAACAUGUAAAAUUUUUGUUGGAGUGCAUCCUGUUUUACCUUUAGAUCAGACAUAUACUCCUCGUGCUGUUCAAAAUGCUGGAAAAUGUUUUGUUCUUUUUUUGCGAGGAGAAAAACUUUACUUGUAGUUUUGCAGCCAUUCUUUUUUAUCAAGAGUCAUGAUGACAAUGAUGUUACCUGUAUACUCAGGGGUGCUCCUUUUACAGGGUUAUGGUAUGACUAAAACAUACGGGAUAAUAUCCCUGGAGUACCUGCAAAAGGGCCCAUCAGUUUGGUUCAAGUGGAGCACUUGUCACAGAAGUUGAGGCAAAAAUUGUUGAUUCAAAGACAAUGAAGCAUCUGCCUCCGAACCAACUAGGAGAAAUCUGUGUUCGAGGACCAAACAUAAUGGAAGAUUAUAUUUGCUUAUCUUUCUGCUUUAUUGAUUGUGUUUGGUUACAAAUAUAACUGUGUAUAUAUGCUUGGAUUGUGUUGUGUAUAUAUGCUUGGAUUGUGUUUGGUUUACAAAUAUAACUGUGUUUUGGUUACAAUAUAACUAUGUAUAUAUGCUUGGAUUUAAAUGUUUGGAUUGUGCUGUUAACUUGUGCUUUCAUUGGUUAAUUUCUCGAUGGAUUGUGUUGUUUUAAUAUUAGUUACUAGCAAAUUUUUGCAUGUAUGUGUUGGUUUUGGAGGCAUUUUAAUAACGCCUUCAUAAAUGUUGGAAGACUUAUAGAAAGUGUCUUUAAAAAGUAUUGUAGGCAUCUAGAAAAUGCCUUUAUAUAUUGGUAUUGAAAGGCGCUUUGAAAAAAUGCUUCGAAAGAUCUUUUGAGUCCAUUUAUAGUCGGCGUUCUUGAGAAUGUCUAAAAAAAAGUCUUUGAAGGCAUUGUGAACACUUUUAAAGGCAUUUAAAAACGCCUGGUACAAAGUGUCAUGCUGUAGUGUCAGCGCUCAUAUUUGCUUGUUGACAAUCCGACGUGUAGGCACGAGGAAUAUGAGUUAGGCGGCUGAUAUUUACUGAAACGAAGAUAUUUUCUUCUUCUUUUUGUCUUUUUUGACCAAGCUUAAGACAACGUCCGUGUACUUGACUGCUAAUGUUCUUAUCAUCCAACGCUUGAAUGUCACUGUACUACUUGCAAUGAUCGUAGAGCAUACAAACCAUGCAUGAAAAACAUCGAGUUUGUCUUCUGUACAAUAUAUAUAUGUGCAAGGCUGAGCAUGUAACCCAUGGGAUCGACUCGGUAGGACGCUUGGAAUGGUGCGCUGGGUCAUCAGGUCACUGUCCAAUGCAAUAAACCAGUAGGGACGGGAACUGGGCGGGGGUGGGCAGAUAGAGACGAUGAUGAGUCGAUCCCAACUUGGCCGUCGGAUAUUAUGAUAUUGUAUUUGUUUUUAUAUUUCUAUUUGAAUUCGGAUUCGAAUAUGGAUAGUUUUAAUUAUAUGUUAGACAUCAUAAAAUAUUCAAUUUAAAUAUUCAAAUAUGGAUAUAAUAUCAGACGUUGAAUAUCCGGACUUGUAUGUGGACAGAUAUAAACUCUUCUAAGCAAAUUUGGUCUCCAAUACGAUCAGAAAAUAUACGUACCAUUUUUAUCCAUACCUGGACCUGGACCUGGUGAGCACAUCAGAUCAGGCCAAAGACCACACCUGCCUAUUAUUGGAGAAUAUUAGAUGUUGUUUGUUCGCUUGAGUUUAUCUGUCAAAUCUGCAAGUCAUUUAAUAGUAUUUUUCUCUUAUAAUAAAUCAGUAAACAAUAUUUUCAAUUAUAACUUAUUAGCUAAGCUAACAGUACUUUCAGAUAUGGACCGGUGGCUCGAGAAAAUGUAUGUACUCAUGAAACAGUAACGCCAGGUAUGGACCGGCGGCUCGAGAAAAUGUAUGUACUCACGGAUAUGGACUGCCAGCGAUAACUAUCGAUGCACAUGCACGAGAAAGAAUUGAUAGACAUGAAAAGAGACCCGCCGCAUGAAAGCUUCAAUGACUCAAUUAUUUGUCUCCGAACCGAUCCAGUACAAGAUUACUUCAGAGACUUGCUCCUAGAUAGUACCAAUGUGUCGAGUUUUUAGGUCAACUUCAUCCUGUACUCGAUCUCGUUGAUCUAACACUCGACACGGCUCGACAGCCACAUAUAAUUUAGCGGAAAAAAAUCUAUAUAACCUCCUAAACUAUUUAGGGUGGAUUACUUCAUUCUUAUAAAACUAGAUAUUCUACUUUACUAGCAAAUAUGCACGUGCGACACGCACGUGUUUAUAUUGUUAGAUGUUCAUUGAUUUUAUUUCCACUUCACGUUACAGUUAUUAUUUAUUCACAACGUAGUACUAUAAAUAAUGCAAGAUGUUUGCUAGUUUUUUCUUUCUUGUUUAUCAUAUCAAAUAAAAUUAUGUGUUUUCAAAUUUUAUUAUUUUCUUUUUAAUUGCUAAUACAUACAUCUGCAUUUAUUCGUAUUGACGUGCCUUCGUAUUACUCUAUUUUUUUCAAUUAGUUUAUUUAUUAUAGUUGCAUGCGUACAUUCAUAUUUUUGCUUUUUCUAAUUAAUAUAUUUAUUAGUUACAUGAAUGCAUCUUGAUGUGUAUUUUUUUCAUUUUCCCAACAAUCCGCGGCAGGAGGCAAGGCAUCCAUAUUUUUCUUUUUCCAAUUAAUAUAUUUACUAUCCUUGGUGAUACGUGUUAUGGAUUUUCUUUUUCGAUAAGGAGUCUUACAUCUUUACAUCAUGUAAGAUUAUGGGUAAUGGGUCGUUGCCUCGUCCAUGCUCUAGCGGGCUUGCCUAGCCGCCUGCGCCUCACCGUCAUUUAGCGCGUCUGAUCGAAUGGCUCCAGGUCCUUCAUGACUUAGGCUCUGGCGUUCUCGAGGCCAAAGACGUGCAUGCAUAUAUUUGCGGAGCUUUCCACCUACUUUCUGACUGUUUAUUCAUUUGUCAUCCGGUUUGACACAUGCUUUGCAUAAUUCGAUAGAAAGGACGGACACAGCUGCAAUAGCUCAUGCAUGGUAGUGAUUGGAGUCCUAGUCCUAUAAUGCAUGCACGGCAAAAAGGGCUAAGGACUCGAUAGCACACGGCAAAGGGAUGGAUUCCGUCACCAUCCCCUUAGUCAUACUACAAGCAUGCGGAUGACGAAAGGAGUCGACAGGAAAAUAAUAAAAGAAUUCUGGGUAGGCUAGUACGUGCGUGACCAUGAUGGACACGUUAGGGGUUAACUGUGAAAUUGAGUUGCGCAAGCACAACUCAAAUCCCCACAAGGCCUGAUAUGAUACGUGACGGACGAGGACUCAUGAACCAAUCCAAACCUUUUCUUUACGUAUUGUGCUAGGAGUCUUACAUCUUAUAUGUAUAAGAUUAUAGAUGACGAAGGGCUCAUAUAUCACGACGUCUCGAUCGAACGACUAUUAUAGAGGAAGAGCCCUCUCAAAAAACUCGUUCUUUUAUAGUGUGAUGAUGUGAUGAUGAUGAACUUUCAAAACCGGUCAAAUAAUCUUCUGAGUGGUCUUGGAGGGUGGUUUUGUCUUUUUCUUUUUUAUUUAUUUUCGCUGAAUCUUUGAAAAAUCAUAAUAAAUCAUAGAAAAGUCAUAAAAAUAAAAAAUUCAAUUUUGUUGGACUCCUAAUGAGUAGAUCUACAUAGUAAUAUAUAAAAUAUAGUAUACUUUAGUGUAAAGUUUUUGCUGUAGCUUUAAAUCUAUGUUUUUCUGUAAUUAAUUUGAAUAAUUCAUAUAUAUAUAUAUACUUCCUAUAGUCUAAUUAUAGUAAAACUUUUAUGGUGAACUCAUUAUUGUAUACUUGAACUGUGGUAAAAAUUUCAUACUUAUUGGAUCACGUAUAACUUAUAGAUAAAGCAUAGAUUUAACAAGAAUAAAGUUGAAUAAAUCUAUAACUAAGUUAUACGUGAUCCAAUACGUACGAAACUUUUACCAUAGUUUAAGCAUAUAAUAAUGAGUCCACCCAUAAAAAUUUUACCAUAAUUGAACCAUAAGAACUACAUAUAUGAAUUGUUCAAAUUAAUUACUGAAAAACAUAGAUUUAAAUCUACAGCAAAACUGUGUACUAAAGUAUACCAUAUUAUAUAUUCACUGUGUAGAUCUACUCAUCAGGAGUCCAACAAAAUUAAAUUUUUCAUUUUAUGAUUUUUCUAGGAUUUAUUAUGAUUUUUCAAAGAUUCAGUGGAAAUAAAUAAAAAGAUAAAAAUAAAACCACCCUCCAAAACCACUCGAGGGGGGUUAUUUGACCGAUUUUGAAAGUUCAGAAGAUAGGAUAUCUGGUUUUAUAGUUCAGAGGGGUGAAAAAGUUCAACCUAAAUAAUUUGGGGAGUUAUGUAGACUUUUUUCUAUAAUUAGCCAACAAGUUCAAUUUUCAAGCUUGUCCUCGCACAACUACUACAACCCAAGUUCCAAGCAAAUUUAUCUGUUUCGAUCUCACGCCUCCUCACCCUCCCUCUUCUUUUAAGGCCUUGUUUAGAUCCGAAAAGAUUUUAGAUUUUAACAUUGUAGUAUUUUUAUUCUUAUCUGACAAACAUUAUCCAAUCAUUAAGAAACUAGGCUUAAAAGAUCCGUCUCGCGAUUUAUAAGCAAACUGUGCAAUUAGUUUUUAUUUUUAUCUGUAUUUAAUACUUCAUGCAUAUGCCGCAAUAUUCGAUGCGACGGAAAAUCUUGAAAAAAUUUUGGUUUUUAGGGUGAACUAAACAAGGCUUAAAUGGAAAACAUGCUGACACACGGUCACCUACUUGUAAAAUUUCAAGCUUUUUCUCUAAAUGGUAAACGUUUUUAUCAUACAGUACACGCACUUUAGAGCUCGUUGAACAUCGGAGCUCAAGCUGACAGAUGAGCCUAUGCUUUCGUUAGAAAAACUAGUUUUGUGUACUAGUAGCUUUUAUGUUCUGUGAUGAAUCCUCUUCGGCCCAUCUGGCCCGUCAUGACUCAACGAAUUCUUUUAGCGGAAGGAAUGGCUGUACAGCCAGCAUUCUUAGUCCUGGGCCCAAUUCAACUGCACUACUAUUGCCGCGCGCCGCACAACCCACGCGUCGGAGCCUAAAGCGCAAUAUCAUUGGGCCGUAUUUUUUUCCAUUCAUAGGCACACACUUUUGGCACACCCAACAUUUUCUUUUCAUUUCUUUAUUUUUUGUUUUUCCCAUUCUAACGUAGUCUCCUUUUUUCUUUUCUUUUAUUUUCAUUUUCUUUGGCAUUUUAAUUCUCCUUUUGUUUAUUCAAAUAGAUUUCAUUCGUCCAUUUCAUUUUCUUUCUUUUAUUUUUCUCUCUACUCAUGAACUAGAAUAUUGUUCUCUUAAGAUAGGAAUAUAUUAUUCUCCAAAGUUGGAGAUAUUAUUCUCUUUGGUUUCUAUUUCCUUUGCACUCGUAGAAAUCAAAUACUUUUCUUCUAAACAUAGAACAUUAAUUAACUAAGCAUGGAAAAUAUUUUUUUUCUAAACUAAAAAGUAUUCUCCUUGACCAAAGUUUUAAUCUAUUCAUUUGUCAUUGAUUUAACUUUUUACUUGUGGAUAAGAAUAAUCUCUUGACCUAGAAUAUAUAUCAUUCAUGUGAACCUAAAAUAUUAUUUUCUAAAAAAAUAAUAUUGUUUUGUUGGACUUGAGUGUUUCUCUUUAUGAAACAAUAUUCUUAUGAACUUGGAAUAUUAUUCUCCUAAACUUGGAAUAAUUUUACUUUCCUAAUUUAUGGAAUGUAUAUUAUUUACUUUUGCUUUUUAAUUGUAUUAUUUUUCAAAAAAAAUUCCAAUUAUUGGACUAGAAUAUUAUUUUAUGAUCUAGAAUAUUAUACUCCUGAUUUAGAAUACAAUUUAUCUUAACCUCAAAUUUAUUAUCCUAAUUAAAACUAGAAUAUUAUUCUCCUGAAUCUAGACCUUUUUCUUGUACAUGCAGUGAAGGAACCGUGGCCUUUAAGAGUGGGGUUGAAUUAGGUUACUUAAAACUAAGACCAAAAACUACUUAUUAAAACAUACUCAAGUCGACAUAGCCUAACUGAAAGCUUAACACUGUUAAAUCAUGGAAUAAAUUUAGAAAAAAUCGAGCACCUAUGCCAUGUCGAGGACUUAGCAAUGUCAUAUUAAGUUGAAACCAGAUACAAUUGAAAGGAUAUCAAAUAAGUUUUCUAUCAAGUAUUCAUAGGCCUCAAUCACACUUUGGUGAAAAGAGUUAUGGCAUCACAAUAUGGUACAGUUAGGCUGUAGGUGAACAGAACAUUGGCCUUCGAUUUGUUUGCACUCUAAGAUCGUUCUUGAACAUGGUGUAUCCAUACCCUAUAAGUUGUAGAAACCCUGCAUAGUUUCCAAAGUGCACAUCAAGAUACCUUUGUUGUUAAGCAAAUUGAAAAUAGCUAUAUAUUAGGUACCAACAAAUUCUUAUUGAUACCAUUUACAAACAUAGGAACGAGUGUAAGGACAUAUUUGCCUAAAUGGUCAUUUAACCUAUUUACACAUCAUUUAAAUGCUACACAGUGGUAUGCUAUUUUCAUUUAAUCAGCCUUUUAUCCAUUUAAAUGCCUGUUUUGCCUGUUUAAAUGGUUGCCUUGCCAGAAUGAUAUGGCUAAUAAACCACAAGUGACUGAUUAUUUACCAUCUAGGAUAAAAAUUUUAAGGAUCAUGUGUCUAUAAUAUAUCAUAUCUUUUAGGAAUGGUGAUUACGAUGACAAGACAAUUCUUAGACUAACAUGUAUGUGAAACAAUAUCACAUACAUGAUUUUUACAUAGAUCGAAACAGGUUUAUGGAGAAAGACAGGGAGUCUAUCUCCGGGUUACCAUGACUACAAAUCAGUAUUUUCGGAGGCGAGCAAAUGACCGCCACUGAUUAAAACAUAAAAAACAAAAGCCUAGCAUCGAGCCUGCUACUAGGCUCAUUCACCAAGCCUGGGCCUCGACCUAGGCCAUGCGUUGUUGAUCCGCAUGUCACACCUUUGAUCCACACACAACUGCCAUGCAUCUGGCUACAGUGUCGUUGACUCAACGACUGAGGGCCCAACCAACCACACCGCUCCAAUGGACCAUCGACCAAACUGCCACUCCUCCACCAAAUUUGGUCGUCCCACCACUAGAUUUAUUACCUCGACUCGAGUGGCUGGGCCACCGUGUCACCACUCAUGCAUGGCCCUCAGACAAGCUGUCAUACCACUACCGUCGUCCUAGCGCACCUUCAGGAACCACCCCUUCUCACCCUAAAACCACCACCACACGUGCUCUGUGGGGCCACAUGAUCAGAGAUCCGCCGGUCACCACCGCUCGAGCCAGUCGUCGGAUCCACCACUAAGUGAGGCGCAGAUGGGAGGCGAGGUGUGCCUCAUGGUCCUAUAUGGGCCGCACCAUCAGAGGUGGCUCGGCCCACAGGAUGAAGACGUGCGGCGCACGACUGGUCGGCGUGCACCGCAAGGCUACAAGAUAUUGUACCAAAUAGGAUAGUUUACUUGUAACUCUGUCCCUUCACGAUAUAUAAGGAAGGGCAGGGGUCCCCUAGAGGACAAGUCAGAAUCAUAUUCUCUCAACACAAAUCAAUACAACCAGACGCAGGACGUAGGUAUUACGCCAACUCGGCGGCCGAACCUGGAUAAAAAGCUUGUCCUUGUCUUGCGUCACCAUCGAGUUCGUAGUUUGCGCACCGUCUACCGAUAAACUACUACCGUGGGUAUACCCCAAGGUAGACUGCCGACCAGCUUUCGUCGACAGUGUGCGAGAGCGCGGCUGAGGAAGAGAGGCAUGGGGGAGGGAGGAGAUAUUUUAAGAAAACUAAGUGGUUCUUAUAUAUCUGACCAUCAUAUUAGGCUUGGUGGGUUUCGAACCUGUUUCAAGAGGUGGGCCUCUAUAAAUGAAUUUACAGGGACCAGGGACGAAGCCAGAAAAAAUUUUAGGAGGAGUUGAACAAAAUUGCUAUAUCGACUUAACUUUACUAUAACCCCUCACAAUAUAUAGAAAAAAUAUAUUAGUUUAAAGUAGUCUUAUAUUAAUUCACAAAAUAUAUUUAAAAAUAAAAGUCUCAGCCCACCCUAUCUUAUAAAUUUGUGUCUAAAAUUAGAAGAAAAACACUAGAAGCUCCACUGGAUCAGCAGCGGUAGGGGGGCUGGAGCCCCCCUAGCCCCACCGCUAGCUUCGUCCCUGACAGGGACGAAUGUUUUUAAACUGCUUUCGUAAUUGGUGCUACCACUCCAAAAUUUAGUAGCUAUUUUGGGAGACACUAAUAAUAUUAGACCAUCUACGUUAAUAAAAUCCCUUGUCUCCUAAAAACAUUGUAGUAGUGAAAGAUGUGUUAGACAUGUUAUAAUAGAUUUUAGGGAUGCAAGGUUAAGGUUUAAUCAAGAUCCGAGUUAAGACAAAGAAGUGAAGAAACAACACAGAUAGAUUUCUUUCAGAUUCCCCGUCAGAGCAUUCACAGAACAAGUUUAUCAUCAGGCAUGUUGGAUCAUGGUGGAAUCUAGUAAGAUGGCCACGAAGUGCUGGUAAUCGUGGAAUCCAAAAAGUUAGUUAGGUAGACCGUGCACACCAAAUGAUACGUUGAAAAGAAGAAUGAACUGAUGGACAAUCCAGUGCAUAUAAUAGAGUUGGCAUAGUUGAAGACCCAAAUUACCAAAGCCCUGAAAGCUUGAUUGGUUGGACGAAUUAUUAUAGUGAUCGUUAUAUUAGAGCAGGAGAAAUUUAUUUUCCACGGAGAUUGAAGAAUUUUUGUGGAAGGAACCAAUGACAAUCGGAUAGGAUUGAGUGAGAUUGACUGAUUCUUAACUUGAGCAGACACCACAGAGAGAAAUAAAUCGAUUUGGAGUGGGGUACAUAUGUACGUGGUUGGCUGCCUGAGGAAGGAAACGAACCAGUACUACUGCUGACUCUGUGCUAUCUCCUAUCUCUCACCUGAUCAAUCAAAAGCUGAUAAUUGGUUGCCCAUCCUAUUCUCCGUUUGUCCUCUCGGCUGCUGAUUUGCAGUAGUGUGACCUCGAUGGACAUUCGGGGUCUGAAAAAAGGGUUUCUAUGGUCCACCCCUGCACUGCAUAUGAAUAAUGAUCAUGAUUAGUGCUCGAUAUCCUGAUAUAUAGGUUGCUGCGCGUAACAGUGUACGCUACUUAGGUCCUCCUAGCUAGGCCUGCAAGCUACCAGCUGCUAGCUGCUACAUCUAUAUAUAAAAGGCAUCGCCGCGAGCAAACAUAAAAAGCAAAUCCAAAGCUGAAAGGUAGCUGAGUCCCCUUAUACAUAGACACUACUUGAGCUACAUUUUAGUAGAGUAAUGUCGAUGCAUUACUUGGUUUCUGUAUCUGUGACCUGCUUGGCUCUGGGAGUGGGAGCUAUCUUGGUCUUGAGAAGGAGGAACGGCGGCCGAACGUGCGAAGGAGCGAGGCUGCCACCGGGGUCGAGGGGCCUGCCGUUCAUUGGAGAGACGC